rnacentral:rRNA from 1 species
GAUGAACGCUGGCGGCGUGCCUAAUACAUGCAAGUCGAGCGAAGCUUUUCUGCUUCUUGCACUGGAAAAACUUAGCGGCGAACGUGUGAGUCACACGUAAAGAACCUGCCUUAUAGACUGGGACCACCCUUGGAAACGAUACCUAAUACCGGAUAACAGCAUUAACUGCUUGUUUGAUGUUUGAUAGUUGGUUUUGAUAACACUAUGAGAUGGCUUUGCGGUGCAUUAGCUAGUUGGUGGGGUAAAGGCCUACCAAGGCGACGAUGCAUAGCCGACCUGAGAGGGUGAGCGGCCACACUGGCACUGAGACACGGCCCAGACUCCUACGGGAGGCAGCAGUAGGGAAUCUGCCGCAAUGGGCGAAAGCCUGACGGAGCAACGCCGCGUGAGUGAAGAAGGAUUUCGGAUCGUAAAGCUCUGUUGUUAGGGAAGAAUGAUUGUGUAGUAACCAUACACAGUAGAGACGGUACCUAACCAGAAAGCCACGGCUAACUACGUG